AUGAACCUGAAUCAAGACCAGCAGUUUUCUGAAGCUUUUGAUUUCAAGCAGGAAUCUAAAGUGGUAUCUUUCUAUGAUCUGUUGACAAUUUUGGAAUUUUAGAAAUCUAAUGUUCAAUUUAUUAGAAAGAAAAAACU
ensembl:snoRNA small nucleolar RNA SNORA2/SNORA34 family